GGAGAUACUUGCUGUCCUUCAUCAGCUUGCCAGGCUGCUGACUUCUGGUCCCCAGAGUCCAGGAUGGAAGAAAGAGUAGGUAGAAAAGAUGGGCUUUCUCCAUGUGCGAAGGAGUAAAAUGCAGCUGGAAGGCUGGGCCAACAGCCACCUGGAGAGGGAGUGAACAUGCGAGCUGCCUAAGGGUCAGACUUCACGGAGAAGGAUGUGUGGGCUCAUGUUCUCGGAGGUUUCAGUUCCAGUCAGCUGAAGCUGCUGCUUUUGACCUUGCUGGGGUGGAAAUCAUUGCCACAGAUCAAGAUGUAGGACUCUCAGCUCCUUCUCCAGCCCCAUGUCUGCCUGCGUACCGCCGAGUCCCACCAUGAUGAUAAUGGACUUAAGCCUUUGAGCCACCCAAUUAAACGUCUUCUUUAUAAGAGUUGCUAUGGUCACAGGGGGAGGACCUAGGCCCUGCCCCAAAUGAUGUGACAGACUUUGAAGAUCCCCCAUGGAAGACCUC